CGUGGACUUCAUGGGAGUGAGAAUGCAGACAUGAGUAGCGAGAGACGGGUGAAGAUCCCGUCCGCUGGAUGACCAAGGGUUCCAGGGCCACGUUCAUCGUCCCUGGGUGAGUCGGGUCCUAAGGCGAGGCCGACAGGCGUAGUCGAAUGGAUGAACGGGUCGAUAUUCCCGUACCGGCUUUCAGCCGCCAAAACCGAGGCUUGGAGUACUAACCUCCGGGUCCGGGCUUACUGCUCCUUCGGGGGCGGGAUGCCCUGGCCUGUUGGGACCGAUCCUUGUAGUAGGUCAGCGCAGGAGUGACGCAGAAGGGUAGCCGGCCGCGGAGGUGGUCUUCCGUGGUCAAGCACGCAGGGCGUGGGACAGGCAAAUCCGUCCCGCAUGGGUCCGAGGUGCGAUGAUGGGGGCCUUAUGGCCCGAUAUCCGGUGAUCCCGGCUGCCGAGAAAAGCUUCGGCGUCAGGCUCAAAGCCGCCCGUACCCCAAACCGACACUGGUGGUCAGGUAGAGAAUACCAAAGCGAUCGAGCGAAUCCUGGUCAAGGAACUCGGCAAAUCACUCCCGUUCCUUCGGUUUAAGGGAGACCCCCGAUGGUGAACACACUUGCUGUGGGAGCUUUUGGGGGUGGCACAGACCAGGGGGUAGCGACUGUUUACCAAAAACACAGGUGCAUGCGAAGGCGCAAGCCGCUGUAUAUGCACUGACGCCUGCCCGGUGCCGGAAGGUUAAGAGGAUCCGUCAGCCUUCGGGUGAAGCGGUGAAUUCAAGCCCCGGUAAACGGCGGUGGUAACUAUAACCAUCCUAAGGUAGCGAAAUUCCUUGUCGGGUAAGUUCCGACCUGCACGAAUGGCGUAACGACUUCCCCACUGUCUCGACCAGGAGCUCGGCGAAAUUGCAGUACGAGUAAAGAUGCUCGUUAAGCGCAGAAGGACGAAAAGACCCCGGGACCUUUACUAUACCUUGGUAUUGGCAUUCGGUGUGGAUUGUGUAGCAUAGGCGGGAGGCCGAGAGGCGCGGUCGCCAGAUCGCGCGGAGCCGCAAGGUGAAAUACCGCUCUGUUCGCAUUGGAUGUCUAACCUCGAACAGUCAUCCUGUUCAGGGACAGUGCCUGGCGGGUAGUUUAACUGGGGCGGUUGCCUCCCAAAGAGUAACGGAGGCGCCCAAAGGUCCGCUCAGCCCGGUUGGCAAUCGGGUGGCGAGUGCAAGUGCACAAGCGGGCUUGACUGCGAGGACGACGGUCCGAGCAGGGACGAAAGUCGGGACUAGUGAUCCGGUGCCGGUGUACGGACGCGGCAUCGCUCAACGGAUAAAAGGUACCCCGGGGAUAACAGGCUGAUCAUUCCCAAGAGUCCAUAUCGACGGGAUGGUUUGGCACCUCGAUGUCGGCUCGUCGCAUCCUGGGGCUGGAGCAGGUCCCAAGGGUUCGGCUGUUCGCCGAUUAAAGCGGCACGCGAGCUGGGUUCAGAACGUCGUGAGACAGUUUGGUCUCUAUCCUCUGCGCUCGUUGGAAUGCUGAGGAGGCCUGCCCAUAGUACGAGAGGACCUGGGUGGACGAACCUCUGGUAUGCCGGUUGUCACGCCAGUGGCACGGCCGGUUGGCUACGUUCGGAAGGGAUAACCGCUGAAAGCAUCUAAGCGGGAAGCCUGCUCCAAGAUAAGCAUUCCGUGGAACCUUCGAGUUCCUGUAGUCCCCAUGCAGAACACGUGGUUGAUAGGCCGGACGUGGAAGCCCCGCGAGGGGUGGAGCCGACCGGUACUAAC
rnacentral:rRNA from 1 species